rnacentral:tRNA from 1 species
GAGAAGUCUUAGCUUAAUUAAAGUGUCUGGGUUGCAGUCAGAUGAUGCACAUUUAAAUUCUGUGGGCUUU